GAUUUCGUGUCCGAGUCCAGAGCCGGAGAUUUUCUCGAUCAAUUCGUCGUCGGAGUCACUCGUAAACGCUCUCAGGUCACCAGUUCAAGGAGGAGGAUGCGUGGAUGGUUGCAGGUCUCUGUUUCUUUAUGUAUCAAAUCAAGUCACGGGUGGUAAUGUAGUAGUAGGUGGUUGUAGUGGUAGGUUAUGUAAGAUGGAAUCACGGGAGAGUGUAGUGUUUUCCAACUUUCUACACUCGUUUUAUGUAUGUAUCAAAUCAAGGGUAUGUCCCCACGGCUUUGCUUUUGUACUCACAGGUGUAUGUACCCACAUGCUACUUGCUUCAAUGUUUUUCUAUAUAAAUGACUAUGUGUUUCAUUCUA